AAUAGAUACCCCGGUAGUCCACGCCGUAAACGUUGGAUACUAGGUGUGGCGGUCUUACCAACGACUGCCGUGCCGAAGCUAACGCAUUAAGUAUCCCGCCUGGGGAGUACGGCCGCAAGGCUAAAACUCAAAGGAAUUGACGGGUCCCCGCACAAGCGGCGGAGCAUGCGGCUUAAUUCGAUGCAACCCGAAGAACCUUACCUGGGUUUGACAUCACGGGAAAAGCUGUAGAAAUACAGUGUCCAUUAGGGCCCGUGACAGGUGGUGCAUGGCUGUCGUCAGCUCGUGUCGUGAGAUGUUGGGUUAAGUCCCGCAACGAGCGCAACCCUUGUCCUAUGUUGCCAGCGGUUCGGCCGGGGACUCAUAGGAGACUGCCGGGGAUAACUCGGAGGAAGGUGAGGACGACGUCAAGUCAUCAUGCCCCUUAUAUCCAGGGCUGCACGCAUGCUACAAUGGCCGGUACAACGGGCAGCGAUCCCGCGAGGGUGAGCGAAUCCUAAAAAGCCGGUCCUAGUUCGGAUUGAAGUCUGCAACUCGACUUC
rnacentral:rRNA from 1 species